CUACUAGUGAUGUAACGAAUAUUCGCAUUCGCAUUCGCAUUCGCGAAUAUCCGCAAAUUUUUGAAUAUUCGCAUUCGCAUUCGCAUUCGCAAAAUUUAUGCGAAUACUUAGCGAAUGUUUUAGCGAAAGUUCAUCUUGAGCUACAUUAGAGUGGUGAAAAUGUGUCGCUUUCUUUUUACAUUUGUUAAUGGCUGCAAUGAUUGAUUCUUGUGACUUAAGCCCUUCUUUAACAACAAGUUGGAUUUGGUGCGAUGAACAAUCAAUGUUUUUAAUGCUCAAUAAAGAAAUACCUUUUUUCAUGUUAGUGCCACCAUCUCUUACAAUACAUAAUACGUUUUCUUUGGGAAUUCCCCACGAUGACAACAUAGUUUCUAACUUUGCCGCUAUAUUUUCUCCUGUAUGUCGCCCAUCGUUGAAUACUUCUGCUUUCAAUACAAUCAUUUUUCGUUCAAAAUUAUUGGUAAUUCCGUGACAAGUGAAACUUAUACGAAACGUCAA